AUUGAACGCUGGCGGCAUGCCUUACACAUGCAAGUCGAACGGCAGCACGGGGGCAACCCUGGUGGCGAGUGGCGAACGGGUGAGUAAUGCAUCGGAACGUGCCCAGUAGUGGGGGAUAACCAGUCGAAAGACUGGCUAAUACCGCAUACGACCUAAGGGUGAAAGCGGGGGACCGUAAGGCCUCGCGCUAUUGGAGCGGCCGAUGUCUGAUUAGCUAGUUGGCGGGGUAAGAGCCCACCAAGGCGACGAUCAGUAGCUGGUCUGAGAGGACGACCAGCCACACUGGGACUGAGACAAGGCCCAGACUCCUACGGGAGGCAGCAGUGGGGAAUUUUGGACAAUGGGCGCAAGCCUGAUCCAGCCAUGCCGCGUGCGGGAAGAAGGCCUUCGGGUUGUAAACCGCUUUUGGCAGGAACGAAACGGCGCAGGCCAAUACCUUGCGCUAAUGACGGUACCUGCAGAAUAAGCACCGGCUAACUACGUGCCAGCAGCCGCAGUAAAAC
rnacentral:rRNA from 1 species